GCUGGGUGUGGUGGCUCACACCUGUAAUCCCAGCACUUUGGGAGGCAGAGGCAGGUGGAUCACCUGAGGUCAGGAGUUCAAGACCAGCCUGGCCAACAUGGUGAAACCCUGUCUCUA
rfam:Pan troglodytes isolate Yerkes chimp pedigree #C0471 (Clint) chromosome 17, whole genome shotgun sequence.